AAUAAAAAAUUAUAAUAUUACAUUGUUAUGCCUGUCAGUAUUUUAAGAACCGACAUUGCAAUGCUCUUUCAAUGAUUUUUAUGGGCCUGUCAAUUUGUAACGCCCAUCCUCGUGGACACUUGUGUUGAAUUGUCACCAUCAUUUUCUAAUGAGUAGUGGUAGACUGCGAUGUUUGGAUUUGGCUGGCACUGAAAUGAGGCUUAAAGCCAAAUUGCUCCAUGACUACUACUGCUGCUGCUAAUCCUACACCACAGCAGGAGGAAAUGAAGAAUCUCGUGCACAUCAAAUAUUGGUGGGAAUUAGGGUUUUACUGUCAAAUGUGCUGGACGAAAGCCUCCCUCGUUUUCAGAUAUUAUGCUUUGAUCAAGAAUGGUGGGCAGAUGCUUUGACAAAAACCAUAAGUGGGACUUGCUUCUCUGGGAUGUGCAACAAGGGUAAUACACAUGGAGCAAAAACUGUCCAAACAAAGAAAAAAAAAAAAAAAAAAAAGACAAUGUGUGUGUGUUUUCUCUCUCUCUCUCUCUCUAGAGCUGCAGCUGCUGCAGUGGCUUUGGCACACCUUGGAAAGGCACAUAACACCAAGUGUGACAUGUUGUAAAAUCACAUGUUUAUACCUGGUGGGUGCAAAUGGCACUGAUGGGAAGCCAACCCCAUCCAUCUGCACCUGUCUGCACAUCUCUGUUCCCAUUCAUCUAUUUUUCUGGGGUGUUAACACCACCAUGAAGACAUCAAGCUCAGGCCCCUUUCACAGCCCCAGAAAAAAGCUCUCACCUUGAAGCAAUUUCAUCACUUUGGAAAUGAGGCUCUGGAGGGUGACUCCUCCAAAAUACCAUCCCUUGCUGAGUGAGAGGGAAAAUAAUGAAUAAUAUAUAAAUAAAAAAUAAAGUCUCCCAGGUAGAUGACAAUGUACAAGUUGUAAAAUUUCAUCACUGUUUUUUAUUUUUAUUUUUCCAAAUGUCUGCCACAGACAAGAGAUGUGAUUGUUACUUUUUAUUUGGCUUCAAUCC
rnacentral:lncRNA from 1 species